UACGUAGGGGGCAAGCGUUGUCCGGAUUUAUUGGGCGUAAAGAGCGUGUAGGCGGUUUGGUAGGUCCGUUGUGAAAUUUCGGGGCUCAACCCCGAACUUGCAGUGGGUACGGGCAGACUAGAGUGUGGUAGGGGAGACUGGAAUUCCUGGUGUAGCGGUGAAAUGCGCAGAUAUCAGGAGGAACACCGAUGGCGAAGGCAGGUCUCUGGGCCACUACUGACGCUGAGAAGCGAAAGCAUGGGGAGCGAACAGG
rnacentral:rRNA from 1 species